GGGUAACCUCAGAUCAGGUAGGGAUACCCGCUGAACUUAAGCAUAUCAAUAAGCG
rnacentral:rRNA from 1 species